UGGAGUAUGUGGUUAAUUCGAUGCAACGCGAAGAACCUUACCUGGUCUUGACAUCCCGGAGACCCUUAGGAAACUAGGGGGUGCUUCCAUCUGGAAGAAUCUGGAGACAGGUGCUGCAUGGCUGUCGUCAGCUCGUGUCGUGAGAUGUUGGGUUAAGUCCCGCAACGGAGCGCAACCCUUGCCUUUAGUUGCCAGCAGUUCGGCUGGGCACUCUAAAGGGACUGCCGGUGUUAAACCGGAGGAAGGUGGGGAUGACGUCAAGUCCUCAUGGCCUUUAUGACCAGGGCUACACACGUACUACAAUGGCCGAUACAAAGGGCAGCGACACUGCGAGGUGAAGCCAAUCCCGUAAAAUCGGUCUCAGUCCGGAUUGGAGUCUGCAACUCGACUCCAUGAAGUUGGAAUCGCUAGUAAUCGUGGAUCAGCAUGCCACGGUGAAUACGUUCCCGGGCCUU
rnacentral:rRNA from 1 species